GGAAUUUUGGGGAGCGCACGCAGUCACCCCCCCGCCCCAGCCAGCAUGGGGAGGAGGAUGAGGACGGGGAAACUCGCUGCGCUUGUGGCCGCGACUGGACUAGAUCUCCUGGAUCCAGGGGACUGGGAACAUCGCUUGCAUCCAGGGAUAAGCAAGGACAAAGCAUGAAGAUCUGUGUGCUGAUGGGUAACUCCCAGCUGAAGCCACAAACGUGUCCCACUGUAGGGUUAACGCUGUUGAGGAGCUCGAGGUGCAUGUCCUCCCCUCUUUUCAUCCAAAUCCCCCCUUCUCCCUGCCCAGAGCCAUCCCACCGGCUCCAAAGUGACUGCAGGAGGCAGGAGCAGCAGCAGCCCCAGUGGCAGAACCUGGCAUGGGGCCAAGGCUGAGUUACCAAGGUCUGUUUAUUUGGGGAGGGGGGAAAGGAAGCAAAUGUAUGUACAUAUACAUUCAGUCACGUAUGUUUCCUCCCAGAAAAAGGCCCCGUGAACUUAUAUUACAUGAGAAGGUCUCCAGGUUAUUAUUAUUGUUAUUAGUAUUAUUUAAAAGCUGGGGUUGUGCCCCAAAGUGCUCGUUGUGGAGCGCAAGUGGCGAUGGGUCCUCGCUGGCCUCAGAUGCAGUGAGCUGAGGAGAUGGGGACAUGUUUGGUGGCAGCCACAUGACAAUGUCCCUCAGGACACCUGAAGAACGUGGGACUCCAUCUUUUCUCCCUGAAUGCACAG